rnacentral:rRNA from 1 species
AAUGAACGCUGGCGGCAUGCCUAACACAUGCAAGUCGAACGAAGGCUUCGGCCUUAGUGGCGCACGGGUGCGUAACGCGUGGGAAUCUGCCCUCAGGUUCGGAACAACAGCGAGAAAUUGCUGCUAAUACCGGAUGAUAUCGCGAGAUCAAAGAUUUAUCGCCUGAGGAUGAGCCCGCGUAGGAUUAGCUAGUUGGUGUGGUAAAGGCGCACCAAGGCGACGAUCCUUAGCUGGUCUGAGAGGAUGAUCAGCCACACCGGGACUGAGACACGGCCCAGAUUCCUACGGGAGGCAGUAGUGGGGAAUAUUGGACAAUGGGCGAAAGCCUGAUCCAGCAAUGCCGCGUGAGUGAUGAAGGCCUUAGGGUUGUAAAGCUCUUUUACCCGGGAUGAUAAUGACAGUACCGGGAGAAUAAGCUCCGGCUAACUCCGUGCCAGCCGCCGCCGUAA